rnacentral:rRNA from 1 species
AUGGGGUCGUCGUCGGGGGAGGAGGGGGAGGAGCAGUGGGUGCCGCCGAGCCGGCGCCCGGAGCUGGCCGACGUGGCGCCGCUGCCGCAGGCCGACGGGCCCUGCCCCGUCGUCUCCAUCGCCUACCGCGACGACUUCCGCGAGGUCAUGGACUACUUCCGCGCCCUCUACGCCGCCGGCGAGCGCAGCCCCCGAGCCCUCCGCCUCACCGCCGACGCCAUCCACCUCAACCCCGGCAACUACACUGUAUGGCAUUUCAGGCGCGUUGUUCUAGAGGCACUGGAUGCUGAUUUAUUGCUAGAAAUGCAUUUUGUGGACCAAAUUGCUGAAUCUAAUCCAAAAAAUUACCAAGUCUGGCAUCACAAGAGAUGGCUUGCUGAGAAAAUAGGACCAGAUGCUGCAAAUAGUGAACAUGACUUUACAAGGAAGAUACUUGCUAUGGAUGCUAAAAACUACCAUGCUUGGUCCCAUAGGCAGUGGGUUCUUCAAGCAUUGGGUGGAUGGGAGAGUGAACUGCAGUACUGCAACCAGCUUCUUGAGGAAGAUGUCUUCAAUAACUCAGCUUGGAAUCAGAGAUACCUUGUGGUAACACGAUCACCAAUUCUUGGGGGCCUUGCGGCAAUGCGCGACUCAGAAGUAGAUUACACAGUUGAGGCCAUUAUGGUGAACCCUCAGAAUGAAAGCCCCUGGAGAUACCUCAGAGGUUUAUAUAAGGAUGAUAACAAUUUGCUGGUGGCUGAUAAUCGCAUUUCGGAUGCUUGCCUCAAGGUCCUGAAUAAGGAUUGGACAUGCGUAUUUGCUUUGAGCUUCCUGCUUGAUCUUCUUCGCAUGGGUUUGCAGCCUUCGGAUGAUCUUAAAGGAACCAUCGAAGCAAUGGAGAACUCUGAUCCUGAAACGGGACAUGCUGAUAUUGCAGUAGCUGUCUGCUCAAUCCUGCAGAAAUGUGAUCCCCUGCGGAUAAACUACUGGUCAUGGUACCAGACCACUCUUUCUUCAUAG